GUGAAGUCAUUGAUGCCAUGCUUCCAGGAAAAGCCUCUAAGCUUCAGAUUGUAAGGAAUCGUACCCCAAACCGACACAGGUGGUCGGGUAGAGAAUACCAAGGCGCUUGAGAGAACUCGGGUGAAGGAACUAGGCAAAAUGGUACCGUAACUUCGGGAGAAGGUACGCUCUCGACGGUGAAGUCCCUUGCGGAUGGAGCUAUUGAGAGUCGCAGAUACCAGGUGGCUGCAACUGUUUAUUAAAAACACAGCACUGUGCAAAAUCGCAAGAUGACGUAUACGGUGUGACGCCUGCCCGGUGCCGGAAGGUUAAUUGAUGGGGUUAGACUUCGGUCGAAGCUCUUGAUCGAAGCCCCGGUAAACGGCGGCCGUAACUAUAACGGUCCUAAGGUAGCGAAAUUCCUUGUCGGGUAAGUUCCGACCUGCACGAAUGGCGUAAUGAUGGCCACGCUGUCUCCACCCGAGACUCAGUGAAAUUGAAAUCGCUGUGAAGAUGCAGUGUACCCGCGGCUAGACGGAAAGACCCCGUGAACCUUUACUACAGCUUGGCACUGAACAUUGACCCUACAUGUGUAGGAUAGGUGGGAGGCUUUGAAGCGCAGUCGCUAGAUUGCGUGGAGCCGUCCUUGAAAUACCACCCUUGUAGUGUUGAUGUUCUAACGUCGACCCCUUAUCGGGGUUGCGGACAGUGCCUGGUGGGUAGUUUGACUGGGGCGGUCUCCUCCCAAAGCGUAACGGAGGAGCACGAAGGUGGGCUAAUCACGGUUGGACAUCGUGAGGUUAGUGCAAUGGCAUAAGCCCGCUUGACUGCGAGAAUGACAAUUCGAGCAGGUGCGAAAGCAGGUCAUAGUGAUCCGGUGGUUCUGAAUGGAAGGGCCAUCGCUCAACGGAUAAAAGGUACUCCGGGGAUAACAGGCUGAUACCGCCCAAGAGUUCAUAUCGACGGCGGUGUUUGGCACCUCGAUGUCGGCUCAUCACAUCCUGGGGCUGAAGUCGGUCCCAAGGGUAUGGCUGUUCGCCAUUUAAAGUGGUACGCGAGCUGGGUUUAGAACGUCGUGAGACAGUUCGGUCCCUAUCUGCCGUGGGCGUUGGAGAAUUGAAAGGGGCUGCUCCUAGUACGAGAGGACCGGAGUGGACGAACCUCUGGUGUUCGGGUUGUGUCGCCAGACGCAUUGCCCGGUAGCUAAGUUCGGGAUCGAUAACCGCUGAAAGCAUCUAAGCGGGAAGCGAGCCUUGAGAUGAGUUCUCCCUGAUACUUUAAGUAUCCUAAAGGGUUGUCGUAGACUACGACGUUGAUAGGCAGGGUGUGUAAGCGUUGUGAGGCGUUGAGCUAACCUGUACUAAUUGCCCGUGAGGCUUAACCAU
rnacentral:rRNA from 1 species